rnacentral:rRNA from 1 species
UACAGAGGUCUCAAGCGUUGUUCGGAUUCAUUGGGCGUAAAGGGUGCGUAGGCGGCGCGGUAAGUCGGGUGUGAAAUCUCGGAGCUUAACUCCGAAACUGCAUUCGAUACUGCCGUGCUUGAGGACUGGAGAGGAGACUGGAAUUUACGGUGAGCGGUGAAAUGCGUAGAUAUCGUAAGGAAGACCAGUGGCGAAGGCGGGUCUCUGGACAGUUCCUGACACUGAGGCACGAAGGCCAGGGGAGCAAACGGGG